rnacentral:rRNA from 1 species
AGCAGCCGCCACGGGAACACGAAGGGUGCAAGCGUUAAUCGGAAUUACUGGGCGUAAAGCGUGCGUAGGCGGUUUGUUAAGUCUGUUGUGAAAUCCCCGGGCUCAACCUGGGAAUGGCAAUGGAUACUGGCAAGCUAGAGUGUGUCAGAGGAUGGCGGAAUUCCUGGUGUAGCGGUGAAAUGCGUAGAGAUCGGGAGGAACACCAACGGCGAAAGCACUCUGCUGGGCCGACACUGACACUGAGAGACGAAAGCUAGGGGAGCAAAUGGGAUUAGAUACCCCGGUAGUCCCUGUCUCUUAUAC